rnacentral:rRNA from 1 species
GACGAACGCUGGCGGCGUGCUUAACACAUGCAAGUCGAACGGAAAGGCCCUGCUUUUGUGGGGUGCUCGAGUGGCGAACGGGUGAGUAACACGUGAGUAACCUGCCCUUGACUUUGGGAUAACUUCAGGAAACUGGGGCUAAUACCGGAUAGGAGCUCCUGCUGCAUGGUGGGGGUUGGAAAGUUUCGGCGGUUGGGGAUGGACUCGCGGCUUAUCAGCUUGUUGGUGGGGUAGUGGCUUACCAAGGCUUUGACGGGUAGCCGGCCUGAGAGGGUGACCGGCCACAUUGGGACUGAGAUACGGCCCAGACUCCUACGGGAGGCAGCAGUGGGGAAUAUUGCACAAUGGGCGGGAGCCUGAUGCAGCAACGCCGCGUGCGGGAUGACGGCCUUCGGGUUGUAAACCGCUUUCGCCUGUGACGAAGCGUGAGUGACGGUAAUGGGUAAAGAAGCACCGGGUAACUACGUG